rnacentral:rRNA from 1 species
GACGGAGGAUGCAAGCGUUAUCCGGAAUGAUUGGGCGUAAAGCGUCCGCAGGUGGCAGUUCAAGUCUGCUGUCAAAGACCGGGGCUUGACUUCGGAAAGGCAGUGGAAACUGAACAGCUAGAGUAUGGUAGGGGCAGAGGGAAUUCCUGGUGUAGCGGUGAAAUGCGUAGAGAUCAGGAAGAACAUCGGUGGCGAAGGCGCUCUGCUGGACCAUAACUGACACUCAGGGACGAAAGCUAGGGGAGCGAAUGGG